UACCAUUCUGAUGGUUAUCUAUAAUUUUAAUCGGAAACUCAGGAGAACAACUGAGCAGUUUUUCCUAUGUUUAGAAACCAUCCUAUAAAUUAUUAACUGUCUUGCUCAUUGGCUCAUUUUUCUACCAGGUUAUUUUUAUACAUUAUGCAUUUUAGACUUUUGUCAUAUACAUCGAAAAUAUCUUUUACCAAUUCAUUGCUAUCUUUCGAACUUUAUAGUACCUUUUAGUUACAUGGAUACUUUUAAAUUUAUAUACAGUAAACUUAUCAAGUAUUUUGAACUUUCC
rnacentral:lncRNA from 10 species